AAUUGUAAAACCAGAUAAUCAGCCAAAAAUUAUCCUGUAUCCACUGAGGCCAGAGCAUUGAACCUUCACCAUGUUGAAAAUAUGUACUUGCAUUUAUUUUGGAGAAGUGGUUCUUAGGUCUUUCUGACUCGGUAAUGCCUUAACAUCCGAGGAAGUCUAUGGACACAUCUUAGAAUUGUGUUCUUUUUAAUUAUUCUUUUCUUUGUCCUGACUUACUGCAUGUGAAGAACAUCUCAAAAUCCAGUGUGAAUUUAAAAAUGACUGUCUGAUCUCCCUGAAAAGAAUUACCUUGUGUUGUCAAAAAGUAGAUCAGUAAAACAUAAAUUCAGACAUUCUUGACUGUUAAUUUAUAUGCUAAUUAUAUCUUGUAUAAUAUUUGGGAAAUCUUGGUGUAUUUAAGCCCAGAGCUAUAGUUAAGCUGGAGGCCACAUAUAAUGUGCUUACAGCAGUCAUUCCUCAGUCUCUUCUAGUCCUGUGAGAAAGUAUCUCUACACGCUCUUAACCAUGGAAGAGUCUGUCAGAGGGCUUAGGAAAUGGGAGCCACCAAAAGACCUGUGAUUCUAGCAUUAUAUGUAUAAAACAUUU
rnacentral:lncRNA from 1 species